GAUGAAGAACGUAGCGAAAUGCGAUACGUAAUGUGAAUUGCAGAAUUCCGUGAAUCAUCGAAUCUUUGAACGCACAUUGCGCCCCUUGGUAUUCCAGGGGGCAUGCCUGUUUGAGCGUCAUUUCCUUCUCAAACAUUCUGUUUGGUAGUGAGUGAUACUCUUUGGAGUUAACUUGAAAUUGCUGGCCUUUUCAUUGGAUGUUUUUUUUCCAAAGAGAGGUUUCUCUGCGUGCUUGGGGUAUAAUGCAAGUACGGUCGUUUUAGGUUUUACCAACUGCGGCUAAUCUUUUUUAUACUGAGCGUAUUGGAACGUUAUCGAUAAGAAGAGAGCGUCUAGGCGAACAAUGUUCUUAAAGUUUGACCUCAAAUCAGGUAGGAGUACCCGCUGAACUUAAGCAUAUCAAUAAGCGGAGGA
rnacentral:misc_RNA from 1 species